rnacentral:tRNA from 1 species
GUCCUGCUAGUUUAACGGAUAAAACAAGCGCCUCCUAAGCGCUAGCUGUGGGUUCGAUUCCCGCGCGGGACAUAA